CUGUGUUAGCUUACUGGGCAGUACUUUGUUGCUUUAGCUCCUCUUGUACUGAUAAGGGCGAUGUCCGUUUUGUAAUGUCCGUUUUGUUAUGUCCUUUAGUGUUCCAAACAUUCGUUCCUCGCUGUCUGCGUUUAGUAGUCGGGGGGAUAUCACUCAAUUGGAGAAUGAGCUAGUAGUGCAUGUCCCCAGAGCUUUCGUUGUGUCAGCUUUUUGGGGAUUGGGGAUGGGAAAUAACUUUCUUAGUAACAUCCAAUGUUUCCAUGGUAUAGUGUAUCCUAAUGUAUCGAGACAAAUGUAUCGAGACAAUUAGCUUGAUUCCUUCUGGUAGUAAUACUGCUGCAUCUCGGUAGAGUAAGGCAUCAUAUGUCGACCACACCCUAUACUCGAACGGUCGCCACGGCUAAGUGACUGAUCAAUAUGCCAGGCCAGACGACGGGUCGGUUAACUUGCAGUAGCGUUAGAUCUUGGAUAUCACAGAGAUCGUUGCACAAAAAUAGGUGGGUGUGGGUGUUCGAUAAUUCAUAAAAUUGGUCAAACGUAUUCAAAUUAGAACAGCUGCACAUACAUGCAUCGACUUAUCACAAUUUUAACUAGCCUAGCUAUUGCUGCAAGCCCGAGCUCAACCCUUGCUUGCAGUGCAGUUGGCAGCCAAGUCUUGCAAGGCACUAUGGAAUAAGGCUUCGAACAGGGCGGGGCCAAAAUUGUCACGUGAAACACAUGCGUUAUCCACCUGUCUCUCUGCUCUAGUCUACAGUCUAGCUCUGGUUUGGAAAGAUGGCUGUGUUUCAUGAGCGAAAUCUACAACAACGUACGGCAUAUGCACGAGAUGUUCGGGAUAAGCAACAAGUUUCGUGUAGUGAAACCAUGUGUCCACCUUUGCGUCCCCCUACAUACCACAAUUGGAGGAUCUGAAAACCUGGCUAAAGCAGUUGAAGCAUACAAGCUUCUGAAGUAUAUGGAGUUCCGAAGACUACACUCUAUGACCAUGCGAUGAAGCAUCUCUAUCUCUCUGCGCAAGGACCUGAGCGAUAUCUGAAUAUUACUUUGCAACUUUUUGAUUGGUGUGAGUCAGAUCGGCACAAGACCGCAGGUUAUGAGAUUGUACAGCAGUACAUUGAUAAGAAAAACAUCAACAAAAUAGUGUCAAAUGGCUGGUGGCAACGUUUUCGACAGCACUCUCCCUGGUCAGAUCUAUGGCCAUGGACAGAUCUUCUCCUUUUGGAGAAUACCCUCAGGACCAAUAAUCUGCUAGACAAAGCUAAGACUGAACAAAAGGCGCCAAGAACCCCACAAAGGCUCAAAUAACUAUUUUAUCUUGUGUCAAUGCUGCGGGGGACUGCAUUCCUCAUCUUCGACCGGAAAAAACUAAAUCCGCAACACUGAGGUACAGGUACCCAACACUGUUUGUCCAACAAAGGGUGGAGCUCUCUUCCAAGACUGGUUUUCACAGCACUUCCUGUGUUAUGCUCCUCCCCUUUUACUCUUAAUGGAUGGUCAUUCCUCACACUACUCUGCAGAAAUGAUCCGUAUAGCCGUAUAGCAGCUGUGAUUCUUUUUGUUCUGCCCACUUGACAAAGGCAUGUUUUCGGCAUUGAAAUCCAACUGGAAGCACGUCUGUCAUGAGUUUAUUACACGAAACCCAGGGCGAGUCAUCAGCCGUUAUGACUUUCAACACUCUUCCACAAGGCAUGGGAUCUGUCAAUGACAAUCAUCAAUAUCAAGGUUGGGUUUAAAAUAACCCCAUUCAAUAGUAGGGCUAUCACAUUGCCUGGCGAGGAUAAAUUUGAACGGUUUAACCCGGACUCGUUGGCUGAGCAAACAGGGCUCAAGUACAAGUACAUUCCAAUUUGUCAGAGGCCAAGUCACCAAGAUGCCAAUGAGGGAGAACAAUCAAAUCAGUCCGCUACAUUGUGAUUUGGGAGGUGGAAACGAUUCUGAUGACAGUUUUGCACUGAUGACAGUUUUGCAGAGGCACUUCUUCAAUAUCACGUUUUCCAAUAUGCUUACUUUGCCGCAGGAACCCUGUAAGAUUCCGAUAAAGCAUCCCAAGUCAUCUGGGCGUGCGUUGAGUCUAGAACAACAGUUAGCUGCAGAUGAUGCAAAGGCAAAGGCGACGGCAAGAAGCAAUUAAAGAGAGAUCAAAAGAAAAAGCAAGGAAAGAAAGGAAAAGCAGUCAACAGUAGAGCCAAGUGGAGAACCAAAGGAUGGUGCCUGCAGUGUGAUCGAAGAUGCUGAUCUUCUUGCUGGCUUAGUGAUAUGUGUAACCGGUUCAACUAAGGGACGAGCAGUAGUAGAAUGUCGUGGUGGAGUGUACAUGGUCUCAAAUAAGUGUACUCACUUACUGGUGUGGACAAACACAGUGGUUGCUAGACAGCAUUGACAAGAAUGAAGUUCAAUCUGAAGUCGACUAUUUUGUACACACUGAUGAAUUUGUGGAGAAAAUAAUUAUAUGCAAAAAGGAGCAGUUCCUUGAAUGCGAAGCGUACUUGAUGCAACUUAGCCGAGGAUAUUGACACACCUGCAGAUUCAAAUGUGAGACAAGAAGAUUCUAUACCAGACAACAGUAGUCCGCUGAAGAAGAAAGGAAAACCUCCUGCAAAGGCGGCAACUCGCUCCGUGUUUUCUGUAAAUCCCGCGUCUGGUAAGGGGUUGCCAUAGCACCCACACACAUACACGAACAACUGACUGCUGCGAAGAGAAGCAAUGAUAGCAAACAAGUCACAGUUGCUUUAUGUGCUACUUUGUCUAUUGCAGUGAGACAAGAAGAAUCUUUUUCAGAGGAUGUAGUCCGCUGAAGAAGAAAGGAAAGCCUCCUGCAAAGGCGGCAACUCGCUCCGUGUCUGGGAAAUCUUCUGUAAAGCCCGCUUCUGAAUUCCAAGCUUUUCUGUAAUUGAAGUUGAACUGCACUGAGGCAAGGAACAUUAAUUUUCAGUUUGAACAUUUAGAUGGAUCUGUACGUGUGUAUGAUGGAUUCUUGAGAUCAGACCAGAGCUUUCCAGACCCUUCUAGACCGUCUACCACCCCUUUUGCUAUCACUAUUAAAGACCAUUGUUUUGUUGAUGUUGAAGAGUUUUGUAAAGUUGUGUAUGUACGACACCUAAAGGCUUUUGACAAGCUUGGUUUUCUAAUCGUAUGAGAUUGGCUACUUAAUGAUGGAAACUGUGACGAUGAUACUGAUAGUAGUGUGUGUGACAGAAUAUCUAGUAAAGAGUUUGCAUCCCAAGAAGAAGACACUUAAGAGAGCUAUGUUCCAUUUAAAUGCAUAGGUGUCACUCGUGAUAUGGAGUAUCAGAACAUUCUCCAUGAAGUUAAGGAUAUAAUUAAAAGUGGUGACAUUGUUCCAGUGAAGAUGAAACCUGAGCCAGAGAAUAUUGUUGAUCCUGAGGCAAUUUCUUUUCAGUGCCUUCAUAAUGGGGUUUGGCGGACAAUUGGUUAUGUUGUUUCUGAAAUUUGUGAGGAAGUACACACAGCUAUCAAACAAGGGGACAUAUUAGUAGUCGAGUUCGUGUGGGUAAAGUUCAAGCUUUGGAAGAAACAGCCUGGCUAUUAUGCUUGUAUUGGAGUCACUCGGAGAGGAGAAUGGUCGAUAAAGGUUAAAAGAUGUUGUAGCACCUUUACUUGAACUGCAACUUGCAAUAAUUGUAUGGUCAUCAUCUGUCACAGUUGUUAAUUUUGAACGUAUGACAUUGGAUAAUUAACGCAUGCAAAUGACGUAUGAAUACAAGGUAAAGAAUACAUAAUAGCAAUAAUACGUCCUCGAAAGUUAGACAUACGAGUGUUCGGAGAUGUAAUUGGGAAUAUUAGGUGGUGGCGGCAGCUCUUCUGGUGGAUUGUGAAAAAUUGCUGUUUUGUGUGAUGGAAGGGACGUAGAAGUGGCCAUCGAUUCAGCUCUCGGGACUCUAGGCAUUUUUCUAGGUGAUUGUGUGGAUGGAAUGUCAAAAUCAGGUCUGUCACCCUCAUAGAAGCGGUCGUGAUUGGAGGUAUAAUAAAAAUACGGCAGAUCGGGGUCAUUCCGUUUCUCAUACUGUUAUAGGUCUCUUUGUGCCUAUUGCUUUCGCCAAGUUGUACAUCACAUUGGUUCCACCACCACGAUCCAAUUGUACCAUAGCCUCAAGAGAGAGAAUUAGAUAAUCGGAAGGAUAAACUCUUUCAUAAUAAAGAAGUGCAUAUUUCUGGAACAGCUUAGUCACCACAGCGAUCUGUUCUUCUCGACAGAGCUCUGAUAUUGUCUGACCAGUGCCUGAUAAAACACAAUUGUUCAUCAUUGGGCAAGAAGAGUUUGUUUUAUUGGUCAAAUUGUAUUCAGCCUUGGCAUUGUCAGGAGAGGAGAAACGGUUUUGCAGCUCCCUCUGAACAGUGUUUCGACAGGCAUCAGCUAGCUACAGUAGAUGAGAUAGAAAAUUCACCAUUAUUUUUAUGAUACUAACAUCUAGUAGCAGUUUACCUGUGCGUACUGCUUCCAUGCUUCCAUGUUUACAAAAAGAAAUUCAGAGGUAUAUUUCCAAAACUGAUGUUUUCUUCCAAAUGCUUGCAUGCACUGCACUGCUUUUGCUGAAUCAGCAUAAUGAUCUUUUUUUUUACUAAAGAGCGUUGCUUCAGAAAGCUCAGGCGCACUGUUGUCGGACCUCCUCUGCUCUGCGCACUUAAGGCCCGGGUCCAGAUUUCAACACCAAAAUUUACACUAUGUUCAUACUGCUGUAUUGCAAUAUACAGUGUAUGCUGCAUCAAAAUGAUCCAAAAUGAAGCUCAAUGUUUUCUUUUUCCAAAAAACUAAUUAGCUUAAUUCAAUUAUGCUAAUUAGUCCCAUAAAUGGUGAUGACGUCAUGGCACUUUCAGAAAGAGAAGUGCAAAUACGGCGUUGAAGAUGCCAAGAUCAAGCUUCAAAAACAAGGCUAGAUGAACAUCUCAUAGCUAGGUACUAGUAUCCUUGAUGGGAAGAGUAGGAGUUAUUGUAUUCUUGAGAUACACAAAAUAGCCUACCUCUAGAGUGGCUGUCAGAGCUAAAGAAGCUAGCAUAGCUAAAGUUUUGGACAUUUUUACUUCCCAUCAAGGAAACAUAAUCAUAACAACAUACUCUAUCUUUUGAGGGCCUAAACAGCUACUCUUACCUUGUUUAAGUCCGCCGUAUUUGUUGCCAAAGAUUAUCUAUAAUAGUUCUAGCAGCUAGCUAAGCAAAUACAUUGACCUUAUGACGUCACAUGCAAUGAAUAACAUUAAUAAACAUUAUGAAUCUCAUUAACACUACAUGAUCUACAUGAUCUACAUAAAAUGUUGGCAAUGAAUAAAAUUAAUCUUAUCAGUGCCUGACCCAGGCCUUAACUGCGCAGAGUGGUCUAGAUUUUUCUAAACUGGGUGUGUCACAGCAAAAAAAGUCUAUAAAUUGAACACAGGAGGUUUCUAAAAAAACUUUCAAACAACAUAAAAUGAUAUAAAUGAUAUAAAAACCAAGUCCCUAGCACUAGUGGUUUUCUAAGCGGAACCAUUUUUAGCUAUUCACUAAAAAUGGCUUGCUGUACCUAUUCUGGAUGAUAUUUCUUCUUGAUUCUUGAGGUAGGCACUAGUAGGAUAGUGCUUUUAAGUAUAGUGAAGGACCUAUGUCUCUACUGGCAGCAGUUUCAUAGUUAGUUUUCCUUAGCAACAGUGUGGUG